UACGUAGGUGGCAAGCGUUGUCCGGAUUUACUGGGCGUAAAGGGAGCGUAGGCGGAUUUUAAGUGAGAUGUGAAAUACCCGGGCUUAACUUGGGUGCUGCAUUUCAAACUGGAAGUCUAGAGUGCAGGAGAGGAGAAGGGAAUUCCUAGUGUAGCGGUAGAAAUGCGUAGAGAUUAGGAAGAACACCAGUGGCGAAGGCGCUUCUCUGGACUGUAACUGACACUGAGGCACGAAAGCGUGGGGAGCGAACAGGAUUAGAUACCCUGGUAGU
rnacentral:rRNA from 1 species